GAAUAUUGGUCAAUGGAGGAAACUCUGAACCAGCCAUCCCGCGUGCAGGACGAAGGCCCUCUGGGUUGUAAACUGCUUUUACCAGGAAAGAAACGAGUAGACUUGUCCGCUCCUGACGGUACCUGGGGAAUAAGCACCGGCUAACUCCGUGCCAGCAGCCGCGGUAAUACGGAGGGUGCAAGCGUUAUCCGGAAUCACUGGGUUUAAAGGGUGCGUAGGCGGCUUGAUAAGUCAGGGGUGAAAGCUUCCCGCUCAACGGGAGAACUGCCCUUGAUACUGUCAGGCUUGAAUUGGGUUGAGGCCGGCGGAAUGUGGCAUGUAGCGGUGAAAUGCUUAGAUAUGCCAUAGAACACCGAUUGCGAAGGCAGCCGGCCAAGCCUUGAUUGACGCUGAGGCACGAAAGCGUGGGGAGCGAACAGG
rnacentral:rRNA from 1 species